rnacentral:rRNA from 1 species
UAAGUAGACCGCCUGGGGAGUACGGUCGCAAGAUUAAAACUCAAAUGAAUUGACGGGGGCCCGCACAAGCGGUGGAGCAUGUGGUUUAAUUCGAUGCAACGCGAAGAACCUUACCUACUCUUGACAUCCAGAGAAGCCAGCGGAGACGCAGGUGUGCCUUCGGGAGCUCUGAGACAGGUGCUGCAUGGCUGUCGUCAGCUCGUGUUGUGAAAUGUUGGGUUAAGUCCCGCAACGAGCGCAACCCUUAUCCUUGUUUGCCAGCGAGUAAUGUCGGGAACUCCAGGGAGACUGCCGGUGAUAAACCGGAGGAAGGUGGGGACGACGUCAAGUCAUCAUGGCCCUUACGAGUAGGGCUACACACGUGCUACAAUGGCGCAUACAGAGGGCUGCCAACUUGCAAAAGUGAGCGAAUCCCAAAAAGUGCGUCGUAGUCCGGAUUGGAGUCUGCAACUCGACUCCAUGAAGUCGGAAUCGCUAGUAAUCG